GAGAGUUUGAUCCUGGCUCAGGACGAACGCUGGCGGCGUGCCUAAUACAUGCAAGUCGAACGCUUCUUUUUCCACCGGAGCUUGCUCCACCGGAAAAAGAGGAGUGGCGAACGGGUGAGUAACACGUGGGUAACCUGCCCAUCAGAAGGGGAUAACACUUGGAAACAGGUGCUAAUACCGUAUAACAAUCGAAACCGCAUGGUUUUGAUUUGAAAGGCGCUUUCGGGUGUCGCUGAUGGAUGGACCCGCGGUGCAUUAGCUAGUUGGUGAGGUAACGGCUCACCAAGGCCACGAUGCAUAGCCGACCUGAGAGGGUGAUCGGCCACAUUGGGACUGAGACACGGCCCAAACUCCUACGGGAGGCAGCAGUAGGGAAUCUUCGGCAAUGGACGAAAGUCUGACCGAGCAACGCCGCGUGAGUGAAGAAGGUUUUCGGAUCGUAAAACUCUGUUGUUAGAGAAGAACAAGGAUGAGAGUAACUGUUCAUCCCUUGACGGUAUCUAACCAGAAAGCCACGGCUAACUACGUGCCAGCAGCCGCGGUAAUACGUAGGUGGCAAGCGUUGUCCGGAUUUAUUGGGCGUAAAGCGAGCGCAGGCGGUUUCUUAAGUCUGAUGUGAAAGCCCCCGGCUCAACCGGGGAGGGUCAUUGGAAACUGGGAGACUUGAG
rnacentral:rRNA from 1 species